UCCGGUUUGUCACCGGCAGUCUGCUUAGAGUGCCCAGCUUGACCUGCUGGCAACUAAGCAUAAGGGUUGCGCUCGUUGCGGGACUUAACCCAACAUCUCACGACACGAGCUGACGACAACCAUGCACCACCUGUCUCCCCUGUCCCGAAGGAAAGAUCUAUCUCUAGACCGAUCAGGGGGAUGUCAAGACCUGGUAAGGUUCUUCGCGUUGCUUCGAAUUAAACCACAUACUCCACUGCUUGUGCGGGUCCCCGUCAAUUCCUUUGAGUUUCAGUCUUGCGACCGUACUCCCCAGGCGGAAUGCUUAAUGUGUUAACUUCGGCACCAAGGGUAUCGAAACCCCUAACACCUAGCAUUCAUCGUUUACGGCGUGGACUAC
rnacentral:misc_RNA from 1 species